rnacentral:tRNA from 1 species
GCGGGCGUAGUUCAAUGGUAGAACACCAGCCUUCCAAGCUGGCCAUGCGAGUUCGAUUCUCGUCGCCCGCUCCA